rnacentral:tRNA from 1 species
AGUCUUGUAUUCAAUAAUGAUUUUAGAUUGCAAAUCUAAAGGUAAAGGUUAACUUUUAAGGCUU